CGCCGCCCGGUGCCGCCCGGAGCCGCCCGGUGCCGGGGAUGAGGCGCGAGGGCGGCGCGGCCCCGCGGGCCGAGGCUUGCGAUGUCUGGCUGGACACCGCCGCGCUGAAGCGGAGCGCGGCCCAGCCUCUCGCAGCCAAGUCAAAAGUCUCUACUCGGAUUCUGGGACGGAAACGCGCCGCAGUCGCUGUCACGCCGACGGGAGCCUCUCGGCCACACGCCCGGCAAACCACCAUCCCCAUCUUCUUCGGCUCGCAGACAGAUCAAACAGACAAAGAAAACUUCAGGCCGUCUCCUUUCAUCCUGAAUAAAAACUCUAAAGAAAAAGGUAUUUCUCCGGCCGCUACCCCUGUGAAGAUCUUGGCUUUGCCACAGCUGGAGGAAGCCCAGACACAACCCUUCGGGUUCGGGGGGACGGCGCAGGUGACACCCCAGCGCCGUGCACGGGCAGCGCCGGCCGCGCCGCCUCCUGCGCCAGGCUCCUGGUUGGUACCGGCAGAGUCCCACAGCCCAAGCGAAGCCUCCUGUGGGCCGGGGGAGGAUUCCUGCUGCUUCAGCUUCACCCAGGAUUCAGAGAACAACUGGGUCAUCGCACACAGAAACGAUUUAUCUGAUUUAUCAGCUGGAGAAGUUUCAGAGGGCGGGAUAACAGAGCGAGAGGGGCGGCCGCCCCCAGAGGAGGCCCAGACCGGGCUGGAUUUCCAACCAAGACUUGGUGCAAACCAGAAUAAGAAACCACACCACUCGAGUAGCGUUGAUUCCUUAACUGAUUUCUCUGAAACUGAGAAUAUAAAUCCUGCUCUAACGGGAGGCAGCACCUGGGCUGCCGGGUUUUAUUCACCUCCACACCGAGCAGCUCGAGCGCAGCCCCUGCGCGAGCGCAGCCACAACGCUGGCGCGGCCCCGGGCGGUGAGGGGGGCCGGAGCCGUCCCUGCAGGCAGCUCUUCACCCAGGACUCGGAGGGGAACAGAGUCAUCGCCCACCGCUGUCAGGACAUCCCCCCCCCUCGCCAGUGCCAGGGCAGCUCUCGCAGGCAGCUGCCCAACUCUCCCUGCCAGGGCGGCUCCGGGGAGCGGCGGUUAGAGGUGUGUUACGAGUCGCUGUUCACGCAGGACUCGGAGGGGAACAGGGUGAUUAAACACUGA
rnacentral:lncRNA from 1 species